GACGAACGCUGGCGGCGUGCUUAACACAUGCAAGUCGAACGAUGAAGGAGGAGCUUGCUCCUCCGGAUUAGUGGCGAACGGGUGAGUAAUACGUGAGCAAUGUGCCCUUGACUCUGGGCUAAGCGCUGGAAACGGCGUCUAAUACCGGAUACGACCCUCGGAGGCAUCUCCUGAGGGUGGAAAGAACUUCGGUCAAGGAUCAGCUCACGGCCUAUCAGCUAGUUGGUGAGGUAACGGCUCACCAAGGCGACGAGGGGUCGCCGGCCUGAGAGGGUGAACGGCCACACGGGGACGGAGACACGGCCCAGACUCCUACGGGAGGCAGCAGUGGGGAAUAUUGCACAAUGGGGGCAAGCCUGAUGCAGCAACGCCGCGUGAGGGACGAAGGCCUUCGGGUUGUAAACCUCUUUUAGCAGGGAAGAAGCGAAAGUGACGGUACCUGCAGAAAAAGCACCGGCUAACUACGUGCCAGCAGCCGCGGUAAAAC
rnacentral:rRNA from 1 species